AGGAAAAAAAAAAAAGGAAUUAAAUUCCGCGAUUGAAGAUAUGGGCGGAAAUGCAGGUGCUUUCAAUUCGAAUUGGAAAUUACUGGAUGAAGUCUACUCGCCGGUGGACCGUGCAACGGCACAUCAAGAAUCCCAGUUAUCUCUCCAACCUAACCUGAAACGAUAAGAGGGACGUUUACGUAAAUUUGUUAAUAAAAUUAUCUUGGAAAAAAAA